CUACAUCUACUGAUAGACCUAGACUCUUUUGUGGCUGUUUUUGCUAUCUGCACUAUGAUGUAAAGGAAACCACUUCUGGUGCUUUCCCCUCUCUCUGGUUCAGAUUGGUGUAGGGAGUUAAACU